AUUGAACGCUGGCGGCAUGCCUUACACAUGCAAGUCGAACGGCAGCACGGGUGCUUGCACCUGGUGGCGAGUGGCGAACGGGUGAGUAAUACAUCGGAACGUACCUUAUCGUGGGGGAUAACGCAGCGAAAGCUGUGCUAAUACCGCAUACGCCCUGAGGGGGAAAGCGGGGGAUCGCAAGACCUCGCGCGAUUAGAGCGGCCGAUGCCUGAUUAGCUUGUUGGUGGGGUAAAAGCCCACCAAGGCGACGAUCAGUAGCUGGUCUGAGAGGACGAUCAGCCACACUGGGACUGAGACACGGCCCAGACUCCUACGGGAGGCAGCAGUGGGUAAUUUUGGACAAUGGGGGCAUCCCUGAUCCAGCAGUGCCGCGUGAGUGAAGAAGGCCUUCGGGUUGUAAAGCUCUUUUGUCAGGGAAGAAACACCGGCUCUAACACAGUCCGGGAAUGACGGUACCUGAAGAAUAAGCACCGGCUAACUACGUGCCAGCCGCCGCAGUAA
rnacentral:rRNA from 1 species